rnacentral:misc_RNA from 1 species
AACGCACGAGACCUGCGGACCUGCGGAGGGAUCAUUAACGAAUCUGAAAGGGGUUGUAGCUGGCCUUUCACGAGGCAUGUGCACACCCUGCUCAUCCAUUCACACCUGUGCACACUAUGUAGGUUAGAUGAGCGCCGCGAGGUGCAAGUCUGCCUAUGUCUUUACACACUCUGUUAAGUAAAUGAAUGUACUUGCUAUAAACGCAUCUUAUACAACUUUUAACAAUGGAUCUCUAGAUCG